AUGUCUAGGCCGAGCUCUCCAACGCCUAGUGAAACGGAGGCCCGCGAGGAGGCCCUUCGUUCUCGAGAUCGUCGUGAUGUUCUUGAGCUCUUUGACGAACGUGCGAUGGAUUCCGAAGAAGAUCCUCGUUUUGCAGCUUUUGAGUGUUUUCACGGUUUCGACGAUGAUUCUUCUUCACGUCGUGAGAGGCGUCCCCGUGGACGUUCUCCUUCUCGAAUGUUGUGUCGCCGGUUGGCGCUUCAGAUGUUGUUUCUCGCCAGCAAUCUCAUCGUCUUCGUCGAUGGCUCGUUUGAGCUUCAAUGCCCCAAAGUGGAUGAGUCCAUGGUACGACACUUGAAGAAUGCGAAGAGGGAUCGCUCGGGUAACCGCAAAGUUGUUGAUUACGUUGAGAAAGCUUGGCUUUCGUCACAGUAUCAAGUUAUGGAUGCUAUGCGUCCCCUAAUUCACAUUUGGAUCAAUCUUCCGGACACCAGUCCUUUGAUGGAAGCGGCGGAAUCGGCUCUCCAGCUUUUGGGUGGUGCCUUUGCCAACAUCUCAAAGAUGCGUCGCCUCAAUGUGAUGCGCCAAGUUGCGCCCAAGAUGUCACCAUUGCUUGAUGAUCCACGCGUUUUCUCGUCGCGGGAAAUUUCGCGCCUUUUUGGAGACAAGUUCCUCGAUGCCAUGGUGAAGGAAGUUGAAGACGAGAAUAAGCUGGCAAAAAUUGGACGCGCUGGCGGUCCUUAUGAUCGUUCUUGGAGCACUGGUAACAACCGUUGGAACGACUCAAGAGUUUUUCGCAGUAGCGACCGCGGACAUUCUUCCAGUGGGAAUCGUUAUCACCCCCUUUCGGGUCAAAGUUCGCGUUACCAUCACAACCAAGGGGCCAGCGGUCCAGAUCGGGAAUCGCGAACGUCCAUGGACUCGAGCGACUGGAUGCUCGACAGACAUGUUUUCCACAAAAUUCGCACCUUGUGGGAAGUACAGAUCGAUCUAUUUGCCAACGCAUGGAACGCGCAGCUGUCGACAUUCGUGUCCUGGGUUCCGCAACCGCUUGCGCUGACAACCAACGCUUUCUCUCUGUGUUGGAAACGACGGAAAUGUUACGCGUUUCCCCCAUUUGCCCUCAUUCCGAGAUGCCUAGCGAAGGUUCGGAAGGAAGAGGCGUCGUUGGUUCUGGUGUGCCCCUUUUGGCCGUCUCAGACUUGGUAUCCUCUUCUUCUAGAGUUGACAGUGGACGUUCCCAGGAUAAUCAGGCCUCAGCCAGAUCUGUUGUUGUCGAGCGAUCGGGCGACACAUCCGCUCAACGAAUCGCUAAUCCUAUCCCAAUUGGAAUAACAAGGGGGCCAAUAACAGGUCUUUUGGCGGACGGGGCCGUUUUUGAAGGUGAUACGGCAUAACGGCUUACAGUAUCCGGAACAGGCGCUAGUAGCCUUUUUUAAUCCAGUCAUAUUUAUGCUUUCUCAUUUAAUUUUCGAAGAAGAGAACAGCGUAACUUUAUAUCCUACAUACGCGAUUUUGUCGGAUUCUGUGCGGAUGUAGUCUUAGAAAUGAUAUCAUUGGACCCAUGUAAUUUCUCCAGCAUGUGA